rnacentral:lncRNA from 1 species
GUCCAUUUGUGGGCUGCCCCACACUUGUGGGGCUGGAGGGGGUCGGUCCUGCCGUGGGUCACACCGUGGUCCCGCUGUGGGUCGCUCCGUGGGGCUCCUGUGGGUCCCGCCGUGGGUCUGACCCACAUCUUCCUGUGGCUGCCGCUGUGGGUCAGUCCGUGUCCUACUUGUGGGUCAGAGCCCCGCUGUGGGUCAGGCCCUGCCCCACAUGUGGGUCACUGUGUCCUACUUGUGGGUCAGACCCCCCACUUGUGGGUCAGUCCGUGUCCUACUUGUGGGUCAGACCCCCCACUUAUGGGUCAGUCCGUGUCCUACUUGUGGGUCAGACCCCCCACUUGUGGGUCACCCCCUGCCCCACGUGUGGGUCAGACCCCCCACUUAUGGGUCAGUCCGUGUCCUACUUGUGGGUCAGACCCCCCACUUGUGGGUCAGUCCGGGUCCUACUUGUGGGUCAGACCCCCCACUUAUGGGUCAGUCCGUGUCCUACUUGUGGGUCAGACCCCCCACUUGUGGGUCAGUCCGCCUCCUACUUGUGGGUCAGAGCCCCACUCGUGGGUCACCCCCUGCCCCACUUGGGGGUCGGUGCUGCGCCGUGGCUCAAUCCGUGUCCUACUUGUGGGUCAGACCCCCCCCCACUUAUGGGUCAGACCCCCCCCACUUAUGGGUCACCCCCUGCCCCACUGCCAGCUCAGUCCGUUCUCCGCCCCGUCCCUCGCCGUCCCUCCGUGGGUCCGGGCCUCCGUGGGGCGGCGGCGCCGUGGGGCAGCGGUGGGGGGGUCACUGUGGGGCGCCGUGGGGCGGCGCCGUGGGGCAGAGCUCGAGGGAAAGGGCCUCGAAAGCCUCCAACAUGGCGGCGCGGACCCGCUCCGUCAGCGCCGGGACGUCCGUGGGGCCCAGCCCCCGCGUGGGGAGGGGGGGCAGCACCUGGAUGACGCACUCACCUGGGGGGCAGGAUGUGGGGCUGACCCAUAGCGACCCAUAGAUCCGCCCCAUAGCGACCCAUAGCUGCCCCAUAGCGACCCAUAGCGACCCAUAGAUCCAGCCCCUAAGGCUGCCCCAUAGCGCCCCUGCCCCCCAACCUCGUCGUCAGCAACAACCAGAGGUCCCCUGAACUCCUGGGUAGGGCUGCCCCAUAGAUCCGCCCCAUAGCGACCCA